rnacentral:rRNA from 1 species
UGGGGAAUAUUGCACAAUGGGCGCAAGCCUGAUGCAGCCAUGCCGCGUGUAUGAAGAAGGCCUUCGGGUUGUAAAGUACUUUCAGCGGGGAGGAAGGGAGUAAAGUUAAUACCUUUGCUCAUUGACGUUACCCGCAGAAGAAGCACCGGCUAACUCCGUGCCAGCAGCCGCGGUAAUACGGAGGGUGCAAGCGUUAAUCGGAGUUACUGGGCGUAAAGCGCACGCAGGCGGUUUGUUAAGUCAGAUGUGAAAUCCCCGGGCUCAACCUGGGAACUGCAUCUGAUACUGGCAAGCUUGAGUCUCGUAGAGGGGGGUAGAAUUCCAGGUGUAGCGGUGAAAUGCGUAGAGAUCUGGAGGAAUACCGGUGGCGAAGGCGGCCCCCUGGACAAAGACUGACGCUCAGGUGCGAAAGCGUGGGGAGCAAACAGG